ensembl:lncRNA
AAUCAACCUUCUUCUAACCUGAGGAAUUGCUCACACAACCUCUUGAAAUUGCGACCCCACACAGUGCAGUGGUGUAUUUUGUCCGGUGCUGCUGUUCACGUGUGGGCAGUUAGUAUCAUUUACUAAGAAAUGAAAGUGAAACUUCUAUCAAUAAUUAUAAAAAGGCAGGGGGGGAUGCACUGGACAAAAUAUACCACUGCACUGUGGAUAUCUGCGCAUAACUACGGAUACACUCUCUGUAUCAUCUGAAUGUGGACAGAUCAUGGGCUGGGAAGGAAUAUGGAGUCGUUAUAGUCGGAGGUAAGCUGUCAGAUGACGUGAUUCACCGCUUUCACGCAACCCACAAUGCAAUGAGGUGCUGGCACUGUGGCUCUGGCUCCAGCCAUUCUGGCUGCACUGGGUUCACUCCAGCUGGAAUAGCAGCAGGCUCCAUUGCUGCCAAACUGAUGUCAUAUUUUGCAGUUGCUAAUGGAGGAGGAGUUGCAGCAGGAGGUCUCAUAGCAACCCUGCAGUCCUGGGGUAUGGGAGGUCUGACGGGAGCUGGCAUUGGAGGUGUUGCUGGUGCUGGAGGAACAGUGGGUUGGCUGCUCUCAACCAUUUGUAACCAGACUGGAACACGUUAAGAUUUACACUAUGAACAAAUACCAGAUGUUUAGUCAUGUGACAGAUCUCAAAUGAAGCAUCAUUUUAGAAACGUCAGACACUCAGCUUAAAGCAAAAUUUGAAAAUUAAAUUAAAUAUAUGGUGGAUUAAGAUUACUGCUAUUUUGAAUGCAUCAUUUUUAGGUAUCAUUGUAGAGCAUGAAGCUGUUUGAUCUGAACCCAAGACUGAUACGAAGAAAUUUUCUGAAUUUAAUGUGAAAAUAAAAAUCCAUGC